rnacentral:rRNA from 1 species
UAGGGAAUCUUCCGCAAUGGGCGAAAGCCUGACGGAGCAACGCCGCGUGAGUGAUGAAGGUCUUCGGAUCGUAAAACUCUGUUAUUAGGGAAGAACAUAUGUGUAAGUAACUGUGCACAUCUUGACGGUACCUAAUCAGAAAGCCACGGCUAACUACGUGCCAGCAGCCGCGGUAAUACGUAGGUGGCAAGCGUUAUCCGGAAUUAUUGGGCGUAAAGCGCGCGUAGGCGGUUUUUUAAGUCUGAUGUGAAAGCCCACGGCUCAACCGUGGAGGGUCAUUGGAAACUGGAAAACUUGAGUGCAGAAGAGGAAAGUGGAAUUCCAUGUGUAGCGGUGAAAUGCGCAGAGAUAUGGAGGAACACCAGUGGCGAAGGCGACUUUCUGGUCUGUAACUGACGCUGAUGUGCGAAAGCGUGGGGAUCAAACAGGAUUAGAUACCCUGGUAGUCCACGCCGUAAACGAUGAGUGCUAAGUAUUAGGGGGUUUCCGCCCCUUAGUGCUGCAGCUAACGCAUUAAGCACUCCGCCUGGGGAGUACGACCGCAAGGUUG